UACGGAGGUGGCAAGCGUUGCUCGGAAUCAUUGGGCGUAAAGCGCGUGUAGGCGGCUUGGUAAGUCCGGUGUGAAACCUUGGGGCUCAACCCCAAGCCUGCACUGGAUACUGCCUCGCUUGAGUCCGGGAGGGGAGAGCGGAAUUCCUAGUGUAGCGGUGAAAUGCGCAGAUAUCGGGAGGAACACCAAUGGCGAAGGCAGCUCGCUGGGACGUGACUGACGCUGAGACGCGAAAGCGUGGGGAGCAAACAGG
rnacentral:rRNA from 1 species